rnacentral:lncRNA from 1 species
NNNNNNNNNNNNNNNNNNNNCAGGUUGGAGGAAGUAGGAGAGGCAGAAUAGAUGGAUGGGAAUGGGAGCACAUAGCAGAGACAACAAACAUAGUCCUAAAAUCCUUAGGGCUUGCUGGAAGAAGAGGUCUUUCACCUGGGACUACAAAGAUAAGUAGAACCUUGACUCAGGUACAUAGUAAAAUUGCUUUAAGUCUCAGUUUAAAAAAUCUUGUUUUACUUGCGUUUACUUGCAAGCACUUACAGAAAUACUUCCUUAGUACUAGGUUUUCUGAAGUGAUCUCUCACUCUCAACCAAGGCAGUUGUUAACAUUUGAAGGUUUCUAGGGACUGGGAUGAGGGUUAUUGAUUGUAUUCAAAUUUUACCAAGCCAACAGCUGUGGCUGGAGACAGAAAGUUUUCUCUUUUAAGAGCUGGCUGGAAGAUUAUUCUCUUCUAUUUGGGAAAAGAUAAUCAUAUACUUUCAGGCUGUCGGGGUGGGGCCUAUUCUGUUUUUGUUUGUUGCUUGCUUGUUUUGUGGCUUCAGCUGUGUGGA